rnacentral:rRNA from 1 species
GACGAACGCUGGCGGCGUGCUUAACGCAUGCAAGUCGAACGGAAAGGCCCUGCUUUUGUGGGGUGCUCGAGUGGCGAACGGGUGAGUAACACGUGAGUAACCUGCCCUUGACUUUGGGAUAACUUCAGGAAACUGGGGCUAAUACCGGAUAGGAGCUCCUGCUGCAUGGUGGGGGUUGGAAAGUUUCGGCGGGUGGGGAUGGACGCGCGGCUUAUCAGCUUGUUGGUGGGGUAGUGGCUUACCAAGGCUUUGACGGGUAGCCGGCCUGAGAGGGUGACCGGCGACAUUGGGCCUGCGAUACGGAGCAGACUACUACGGGAGGCAGCAGUGGGGAAUAUUGCACAAUGGGCGGAAGCCUGAUGCAGCAACGCCGCGUGCGGGAUGACGGCCUUCGGGUUGUAAACCGCUUUCGCCUGUGACGAAGAGUGAGUGACGGUAAUGGGUAAAGAAGCACCGGCUAACUACGUG